UACGGGGGGGGCAAGCGUUGUUCGGAAUUACUGGGCGUAAAGGGCUCGUAGGUGGCCAACUAAGUCAGACGUGAAAUCCCUCGGCUUAACCGGGGAACUGCGUCUGAUACUGGAUGGCUUGAGAUUGGGAGAGGGACGCGGAAUUCCAGGUGUAGCGGUGAAAUGCGUAGAUAUCUGGAGGAACACCGGUGGCGAAGGCGGCAUCCUGGACCGGCAUUGACGCUGAGGCGCGAAAGCCAGGGGAGCAAACGGG
rnacentral:rRNA from 1 species